AACGAACGCUGGCGGCAGGCUUAACACAUGCAAGUCGAACGCACCUUUCGGGGUGAGUGGCAGACGGGUGAGUAACGCGUGGGAAUCUACCCUUCUCUACGGGAUAGCUCCGGGAAACUGGAAUUAAUACCGUAUACGUCCUGAGGGAGAAAGAUUUAUCGGGGAAGGAUGAGCCCGCGUUGGAUUAGCUAGUUGGUGGGGUAAAGGCCUACCAAGGCGACGAUCCAUAGCUGGUCUAAGAGGAUGAUCAGCCACAUUGGGACUGAGACACGGCCCAAAUUCCGCGGGAAGGCAGCAGGGGGGAAAAUUGGACAAUGGGCGCAAGCCGGACCCAGCCAUGCCGCGUGAGGGAGGAAGCCCCUAGGGUGGUAAGGCUUUUUAAGUGGGGAGGAUAAGGCGGGUACCAAAAGAAGAAGCCCGGGCAAACUUGUG
rnacentral:rRNA from 1 species